CCGAUAUCAGUUAUAAACGAUGACACCCAGCAUAAGCCACACCCCCACGGGUAUACAGCAGUAGUUAAUAUUAGGCCAUAAGUGAAAACUUGACCUAGCAAAAUACAUAUAGAGCCGGUUAAUCUCGUGCCAGCGACCGCGGUUACACGAAAGGCUCAAGACAAUAUAAACGGCGUAAAGCACGACUAAAACAAAGUACAAACCUUUAGAGAAAACUAACCUGGGCUGUAAAAAGCCAUAAGCUACAAUAAUCACUCUAAAUCACUGACCUUUUUGACUCGCAAAAGCCGGGGUAUAAACUAAGAUUAGAUACCUUACUAUACCCAGCCACAACACACAAUUAAAAUACUAAUUGUUCGCCAAAUAACUACGAGUAGUAACUUAAAACUUAAAAGACUUGACGGUACUUCACCACAACCUAGAGGAGCCUGUCUAAUAACCGAUAACCCACGAUUAACCCGACCCCUUCUCGCCAACAGUCUAUAUACCACCGUCGUAAGCUUACCCUAUAAGUGGUACAAAGUGAGCUACAUAGUUUUACACUAAAACGUCAGGUCGAGGUGUAACCCAUGAAGGGGACAAAGAUGGGCUACAUUCUCUUAUUAGAGAACACGAAUUUCACUAUGAAUAUAGUGACUGAAGGAGGAUUUAGCAGUAAGAUAGGGGUAA
rnacentral:rRNA from 1 species